rnacentral:lncRNA from 1 species
ACGCAGGCACGAGACAACAGCGCUGGUUUUCAGCGCUGACCCACCACGCGUCCUAGCCGGAACUACAGGACUUAAACGCUGUUUCGGCAUAAAUACAGUAAAUAAAUAAAUACAUAUAAAUACACAAGUAAUGUAAAUUGAAACAGUUACAAGAACGAUGUAUACUAAACAGAAGAACACAAACUAAAAACAAAAUGUAACACAAUACGAGAAUAUCAGACAGAGGACAUAGACAACAAAAAGAGUGAAAAAUUAAAUUUUAAAAUAGUCGACCAAUGAGCGUCUCGAACCAUAGACAGCGCGGUAAGUGUCAUGUGUCAAAGAUCAGGUUAACCCGGCCAAUUACAUGUGAGAUAUUUUAUUAUGCAAUAAUAUAUUAUGUGUAUCAAGUUAUGUAAUAGUGUAAUAUGUGUUAUUGUGUUGUAUAAUUGUGCGUGGAUGUGAAUAUACUAUUAGUGUGGUGUGGGACGACCAAAUUAUAGGAAUCCGGUAGCAUAGAGGAUGACCAUGCGAAGCAGUGUGUGUAAUGCGUUUCAAGGACAAUCCGAGGUCCAGAAAUGAUAAUGCUUCGUAUGUAUAUGAAGUGAAGCAGACAGGAGGCAGCAAAACCGCACCACUACAUUGCCGGGGAUCCCAGCAAGGGCUGUGGGCCAUAACUCUGAGGCCCCUUAAAGGUGGUGGGAGGUCAUUCCAGCAGUGUGUGGCUGCAAAUUUGAAGCUGCCCCUGAAAGCUGCAGUUUUGUGAGGAGGAACCUUCAGCGGAGCAACUAUGGAGCGAAGACCAUAGCCGAAGACUCGGGAUAAGUCCCCCUCCGUGCGGAUCCUCUGCGCCUUGUCCCCCGGCGCCUUCCUGACGAGGAUGCGGCCCUGCUUGGUCCAGACAAACUUCCAGCCAAGAGUGCCGGCCGCUUCCCGUGCUUGACGAAAUAACAAGCGGUUAACUUUAGUCAACCGCUCGUUUAAGUAGAACCGCUGCGCAGGCCCGGACAUGCCGAGAUCCGUCGUAGUUGCGCCUCGUCGCACUCGCGCGCUCGCCAUAAGCUGGUCACGCAGGUCUCGGCGAGCAAGGCGCACGACUAUCGGCCGCGGGCGGGAUAUGGUUGGUCCCGCUGAGUUCGUCGCGUUGAGCUGCCUGCCACCUACACGCUCUGCACUGACGAUGUCUCGAUCUUCCAGGCUGAUCCCUAACUUGUGACCUAAGGCUUUGAUUAAAUGGGUAGGGUUUUCCGCUUGUUCCUCCGGCAAGUUGGACACCUCAAUAUCAUUAGCAAGAAGCUCCUGGUCCCUAUCAUUGAGCUCUCGCCUCAGCUCCUCCACUAUUUCGCCUACGUUGUCGGAGUUCGUGGGCCUCGAAGUAGCACGCUGUUCAAGUGCGUCUACCCUGGCCUCUAGACCGUCGACACGCGCGCUGCAGCAGUUCAAGGUGGACUUAAGCUCCGACAUUUCCACCUCCAUUUCUCUCCUAAAUACCUGUAUCUCCGCACGAACCGCUCUCAGCUCGUGAAGGAUUACGUGCAGGUCAUUGCUAGGUACAGGUGACAACUCACGAAUGGUGGUGGUGGCGGCAUUGAGCGACGUUGCGUUUUUGCUAGGUGAGCUGGAGUCCAAGAUCGAAAUCCCUGCGACAUCGCUUGGAGAACUAUGUGUGGGGCCUCUAACAGGGGUAUCGUUUCUGUUGUCCCUAACAAUGUUUUUCUUACACUCGGGACAUCGCCAAGUGGGAGGAACGGAGGCUUUAGCAGUGAAUCCUCCACAUAUUCUACAGUAGAGAACCUUGCACUUCCCACACCUAGCGCCAUCUACCGACGAGGUAAAACGAGAGCAACCUCCACAUUUGAUACCCGGCAUCGUUGGUGACUGUGACAGUUCUAGUAUCUCAAGUGGUUCCGGUCCGACUCACUAGAUGGCGAUAUUGGUGAUCCACUAGACAGAUCAAUGAGCAGCUUGUCACCACGAGACAGAUGGCGCUACAGUUAGUGAUGCGCGAUUGCACUUUCUUAUAGUCUGUGGCAGCGAUGUCAAAACUCACGUCCAGCAAACCAAAUUAAUUAUUUUGGCGGGUAACCGAAUAACUUUGUACCAAAAACCGUAUUUAAAUUUGUUGAUUUUCAGCCCAAGGCCGCACUAUUUCACUCUCACUACAAACUAUGUAUAGCUGACUGACACAAUGUAAACAAUAAAAAGUUUUUGAUGCA